UACAGAGGGUGCAAGCGUUAAUCGGAAUUACUGGGCGUAAAGCGUGCGUAGACGGUUAUAUAAGUCGGGUGUGAAAGCCCCGGGCUCAACCUGGGAAUUGCAUUCGAGACUGCGUAGCUAGGGUGCGGAAGAGGGAAGCGGAAUUUCCGGUGUAGCGGUGAAAUGCGUAGAUAUCGGAAGGAACACCAGUGGCGAAAGCGGCUUCCUGGUCCAGCACCGACGUUCAGGCACGAAAGCGUGGGGAGCAAACAGG
rnacentral:rRNA from 1 species